rnacentral:rRNA from 1 species
UGCGAACUCCUACGGGAGGCAGCAGUGGGGAAUAUUGCACAAUGGGCGCAAGCCUGAUGCAGCGGCGCCGCGUGAGGGAUGACGGCCUUCGGGUUGUAAACCUCUUUCAGCAGGGAAGAAGCGCAAGUGACGGUACCUGCAGAAGAAGCGCCGGCUAACUACGUGCCGGCAGCCGCGGUAAUACGUAGGGCGCAAGCGUUGUCCGGAAUUAUUGGGCGUAAAGAGCUCGUAGGCGGUUUGUCGCGUCUGCUGUGAAAACGCGAGGCUCAACCUCGCGCCUGCAGUGGGUACGGGCAGACUAGAGUGCGGUAGGGGAGACUGGAAUUCCUGGUGUAGCGGUGGAAUGCGCAGAUAUCAGGAGGAACACCGGUGGCGAAGGCGGGUCUCUGGGCCGUAACUGACGCUGAGGAGCGAAAGCAUGGGGAGCGAACAGGAUUAGAAACCCCGGUAGUCCAGAUG